rnacentral:ncRNA from 1 species
GGAUGAGAGAUACACCCGCUCACAGGGAACUGUGAGCGGCACGGGCCGAGGCCUCCCCAGCUUCGACCUGGUCGUGCCCUCGCGCACACAACCGGGGCCCGAGGGCCCCGGGUCUCCUCACGAUCGGA